CCCUUAGAUGUUCUGGGCCGCACGCGCGCUACACUGACGAAGGCAACGAGCUUUCCUUUACCGAAAGGUACGGGUAAUCUUUUGAAACUUCGCCGUGCUGGGGAUAGAUCCUUGCAAUUUUUGAUCUUAAACGAGGAAUGCCUAGUAAGCGCAAGUCAUCAACUUGCGUUGAUUACGUCCCUGCCCUUUGUACACACCGCCCGUCGCUACUACCGAUUGAAUGGUUUAGUGAGGCCUUCGGAUCCGCGACUCGUUUUGUGGAGAAGUUGGACAAACUCAGUCAUUUAGAGGAAGUAAAAGUCGUAACA
rnacentral:rRNA from 1 species